rnacentral:tRNA from 1 species
UGAGUGGUGGCAGAACAACAUGCCUUAGGCCUAAGCCCUAAUAACGAGAUUUCAACUCCCCCUCAA